CUUGCAACUGCACUCUUCUGGUCCACGUUUGUUAUGGCUUGAGCUGAGCUUUUGCUCGCCAUCCACCACUGCUGUUUGCCUCCGUCGCAGACCUACCACUGACUCCCAUCCCUCCGGAUCCGGCAGGGUGUCUGCUGUGCUCCUGAUCCAGUGAGGCGCCCAUUGCCACUCCCGAUCGGGCUAAAGGCUUGCCAUUGUUCCUGCACGGCUAAGUGCCCGGGUUCGUCCUAAUUGAGCUGAACACUAGUCACUGUGUUCCAAGGUUCUCUUCCGUGACCCAUAACUUCUAAUAGAGCUAUAACACUCACCACAUGGCCCAAGAUUCCAUUCCUUGGAAUCCUGUGAGGCCAAGAACCUCAGGUCAGAGAAUAUGAGGCUUGCCACCAUCUUGGAAGUGACCCGCCGCCGUUUUGGAAGUAGCCUACCACCAUCUUGGGAGCUCUGGGAGCAAGGACCCCUGGUAACAUUUUGGAGACCACGAAGGGACAUCCAAAGUGAGAAGAUCCAAACCAUAACAAACAAGCAAGAAAGAAAACAAGCAAGAAAGAAAACAAGCAAGCAGAAGUCAGAAACUCAAAAAGCCAAAAGGAUUCUACUUGCACACCAGCUAAUCAAAAUGAACAGUUUAAGACUGUGUGUGCCAAAAUGAUGCAUAUGGGUGAUCACUUGCUGUAUUACAGGUGCAGUUAUCAAAUGUUUAUAUAAAAUAGCUCGAAAAUGGCAGAAGGAGACAACAUGUUUUAUGCAUUCCAAAGAAGCCUGCCAGUAAGCCACCAAAAAUUAAAGUUGCAUACGUUCUUCAAGAGUAAAACAGGAAGAAAAUAGAACCUGCAUUAUGCUCCUCAAACCACCUAUUCCACUGCUACCAUAAUCACGAGGUGUUUAGCCAGGAACCUCCACAUCCAGGGACAUCCCUGCCCAGAGCCUCACUCAGCCCUGACCCUGCUGCAGAGGUGCCUCAUCCACUCAGCCCACUGGACCACACCUGGCUUGCACACCGGCUCAGAUCCCCCACAUGCCACAGUAGGGCCUGGCGUGCCCCAGUCCAUCUGUGUUACAGCUCAUAUCUGUGUUCAGUGGUUACCAAGUUUUUGUCCCACAUCCAAGAAUGAGGUUACACUGACCUGAUGAUCGAAGGAUGAGGCCAUUGUAGACAAUUUAUCCUAUUACCCCAGAAGCGACUGAGAUGGUGGAAAUUAAUGAUUAGGAAAAAGAAGGCCAGAGGAGAAGUAAAAAACAGGGAAAGGCCAGUCUAUGGAGCAGUAAGAAUACACACAACAUUCAUCGAUUAAGGUCAAUCAAAAAAGCUGACUGAAGCUCACCGACCUGGAACUCUUCUGCUUACUUCUUCAUUUAUUUGCCUUCUCCACCCUUCUCUGUUAAAAGAGACUGACCUGUUGGAGCUACCAGAAAGUCAAAGGGAGAGAGAACAGUGACUAGAGAACUAUUAUUCCCACAGUUCUCUCUGUUGCUUUAUCUUUUCCUGGCUGUUGACGCCACCACUCAAGGUGGUUCUCUCCAUUGAAUUCUUUCCUUCCAGGUUCUGGUAACUACAAUUGCACAUCCCUGUUCAGGCUAACAGAACGUGUUAUUAUUGGCUCUAGUGUACUGUGAUAUAUCUUUUAGAGAAUUUUAAUUUCAAAGUAGUCCCUUUAUUAACACUUUCUUAAAUUAUACUAAUUUUAGUUCACAGUGGGAACCAAUCUGAUACAUUUAUCAUAGAAAUUGAUCUAAUACACUGAGGCUUAUAUGAGAGUUUUGAAGAAAGAUGAUUUUAUCCACAUCCUGGCUAAACUAUAGAGAAAAAAUGCACAAUCUAAUAUCAAUGACUUAACGUCAUAGUGUCUGGUUUGGAUUAUAUGUCCAUUAUAGGUUGCCAAGUGGACUUUAUCAAUAUAUCUAAGGAACACCAUAAGCUCCAUAGAAAUACAACUCUAGCAUUUCAGAGUCAAGAAAAAAAAAGAUUUUUAAAAAUCAUUGUCAGUGGUUUAAGUUCUGCCCAGAAGGUCAUUUUUCUUAUGUUUUUCUGGCAUAUAAGUCACAUAGUUUAACCUGACCUUAUAAUAUGGCAUUUUUCAAGAUGGGACCCAUAUAUGGUUGAACACCAAUGCAUUCUGUCAUUCUGGCCAUCAAAUAUUUGGUUUCCUCCUCACCCAUGUAUGAAACAUUUUUACCCAAUCCCAAAUUUCCCACCUAAUCAGCAUAUCUAGCACUAGGCCCAAGAUCCCAUUGUGUUUUGUGAUUUCUUCUAUGUCAGAUGUACAUGGCUUCUUUUGCUCUGGACAACUGAAAACUAAAAGAAAAGAGCAAUAGUUAUUGUCCUUCAUCACACAAAUGUGCAAUAUAAAAAUGAGAUAACUGAGCAGAAACAUUACAUAUGUAUACAUAUACACACACACACAUAUGAUAUUUAAGAGAUAAAAUAGGAGGGAGGCUUAUGCGUCUUUGUUAAAUAAGAUUCUAAAACCUCACUGGAUAUGUAUUAAAAGGAAUAUGGUUCUUAGAGGAGCAAAUGUUCUUUGUCAGACACUUAUUUCACUCUCCUUGUCAUCAUUUAUCAUCGUUCUUCUUGAUCUUUGGUUCUGUCUUCUGUAAGAUCUUUUUUAUUUCUGUUACACUUGAUUACAUCAGAUGGAAGUUACUUUGAAUGGAGGUCCCACUGGGACUUAUUCUAGAAAUUUAAAAGAAAACUUUUUUAAUAGUAACAUUCUUUUAAAUUUUUUGCUCAGCAUGUUUCACUUAAAAAUAAAACGGUGUUAAAGAUGUGUGUGUAUAUAUGUAUACACACACACACAUUUAUAUGUGUAUAUAUGAAAAGUAAUUAAGAAAAUGUCUAUGUAAAUGCAUGAUGUUUCCUUACUAUUAUCCUACCAUAAAAGACAUUUCAGGAAAGAAAUAGAAUAGUCACAAAGUAUAGGACAAAACAGAUUAUAAGAAUACAAAGGAGUCAAAAUUAAAUGUAGUAUAAAUUAAUUAUUUUAUUAGUUUAAAAUGAAUCUUGUCAAUUAAACUAUUAUCUUAGCGAUUAAGAGAUUUCAUACCAUAUAGCCAAUAAAACUAGAUGUAUGGUUCUGCUGGGAAUUAAGUAAUUGGGUAUGUUUUUAUGCCUCAUUAUUAAUGACCUCAUAUGCUAUUUUAGGCCAGUGCCUACUUACUAAUUUGAAUAAUUCUGUUUUUAUGAUAGCCUCAGUACUAUAUACUUCUAGUAUAAUAUAUAGUACUUACUAUAUAUUAAGCCUCUGGAAUUAUUUCCCACUGGAAUCAUUUAAAUUUAUAGAAAAUUAUUAAAGAUGUAAAAUUAUUAGCAUGCUAAUAAAAGUGUUAAAUAGGGGUAGUCUCACCAAAAGUAAUAAGUACUUUUGGACAGUCAACAAUUUAAACUCAAAAUUAAAAGUAUAAUCACAGAUUUUCAAACCUACUUUCCAUUUUAUUAUCUAAAUGAAAGACAUCUAGAAAUUGAAGAUAAUGUAUUUUAAGAGUUUCAUAGAAAACAUUAAAAUUUAAUGUCACAUGUAAUAAGAUUUGGUGUCAUAAAUACUAAAUAUAGAUAAUUAUGUUUAAGGAAUACAGCUAUGAAAUAAACAAAUUAAGUAUGUAAUCAGAAUAAUGAUUAUUUGUAUCAAAUAUUAUUAUUUAUUUAUUUAUUUAUUUUGAGACAGGCUGUCACUCUGCCGCCCAGGAUGGAGUGCAGUGGCACGAUCUCAGCUCACCGCAAACUUGGCCUUCUGGGCUCAAGCAAUUCUCCUGCCUCAGCCCUCCCAACUCCAAGUAGCUGGGAUUACAGGCACAAGCCACCAGGCCUAGCUAAUGUUUUUUGUAUUUUUUGUAGAGACAGGGUUUCACUAUGUUGCCCUGGCUGGGCUCAAACUCCUGAGAUCUAGCAAUACACCCGCCUCAGCCUCCCAAAGUGCUAGAAUUACAGGUGUGAGCCACCUCACUUGGCCUUUAUCAAAUUUUAGAGACAAUCAUGAUAUUUGUCCAAUCUAUACACUUAUUACAAAUGUGCUCAUAUGGUAUGGUGACAUUGCAAAUGACUGUUUCGUCUUAUUUAACAUUAACUUAAAUAUCUUAAGAAACUGAACAACAAAUUCCAAUUUUAUGUUCAAGUGUAUUAAUGUGAUAACUACUCACACAGUGAACUCUUGAAAGUUCCUUGACUAAAUAUUUUAAAAUUCAAAACUUCUCUCAGAAUAAAUGAGAGUUUUCUUGUUCAUGAUCUCUACUCAGGGCUGGCUUCUUGGCCAUGCAACCUGUGCAGUCUCACAGGGUCCUAGGUUUAGAAGGUCCUCAUACUUGGCUUUUCCAUGGAUGUUGUGAAAUUAUUUUUGAACAAGGAAGCCCACAUUUCCAUUUUGUCCUAGAACCCACAAAUUGUGUAGACUGUCCUGCUGUUAUCUAUUUUUUUCAUAUAGAAAUAAUUAUUUGGUAAUAUGCCUUAUAUUUUCUGCUUAAAAAAUUAAUUUAAAAAAAUGAAGGAAAAUAUGUGAAAAUAACCCAAAACUAAUACAAGAUAUGGAAGAUAACCAUUGCUCUUAUUACUAAAAUUUGUAUUAAAGAUGCGGCCUUCCUAUCACAAAGACCGUUUUGAGUUGCUUCAUGGAAAAAGCCAUUAAAUAAAUGGCUAGGAGACAGCCAAAGAUGAGGCCGUAUAAUAAAAGGAUGAGAACCUCAAGUAUAAAGGUUUAUCUAGAAAAAAUAUUUGGCUAUAGUUACUCAGCAAGAAAAUUUAUUUGAAGUAAUUAAUCCAUCAGGUUGUUAAGAUAAGAGUUUGUUGGGUUAUCUUGCCAAAGAAACUCCUUACAACAUGUAAUGAUUUCAAUCCCAUAAACUCUAAACUGAAUAAAACAGAAGAAGAACUAUAAAAAUUCAAUCCUCUAGGAAGACUAUCUUCCCGACAUCUAACACAGAAGCGGCCAAGAAGACUAAUGGGCAAGACUUCCCAGAAGAUAGAACCAAAGGACACGGUGGGUGAUAGUAAGGGCAAUCCUCUCAGAUUGCAGAAACAGUGCUGGCUGUUUGACUUAAUUUGUUAACCAAGGGCAAGAAAGUUAUACAUAUUGCAGGGUUUUUUUUUCAGUUGAAUUAUAUAUAUAUUUUCCUAUAAGAAAAUAACACCAAAAAAUAGCAAAUCAAACACACAAAUAAGUAAGUUAAUGAAAGAAUUGCAAAACACACUGAAAAUAGAAGAAAAAAAUGUAAGUUAGGAGUAGCAAUUAAUGAAAUACAGAUUAAACAUUUAUCUGUAUUUACGAAAUACAGGUAACAAAGAUGGAGAAGAAUAAAGAAGUCAAUGUCAAUUAAUUGAUAGGAUGAAAUUUUAUAACAUAAUUGUUACAUAGUAAUAGCCGAUAAGCCAAUUAUAAAUUCUGGUAUUAAGAAUUAUCAAUUUAGAAUUAAAACCGGUUUUGUUUAGGGGGUUCAACACCUGUCACUGUAGCUCUUAUUAUUCUCUUUCAAUUAUCUAUCUAUGUAUCUAUCUAUCUAUCCAUCCACAUAUACAUGACAGAUAUAUAAUCUAUUUAUUUCUAUAUGAUCUAGAUAGAUAUAUCCAUUUAUAAUCUAUAUACACAUAUAUUGUAGAUAAAUUUUAAAUUUAACCUAUCAAUUUAUAAUACAUACAGAUCAUUAUAAAUGUACAUAGGUAAUAUAUAAUUAUGUAUUUUAUAUCAAUUAUAUAUACAUUUUGUUAUAUAAUUAUAAAUAAUAUAUUUUAUAUAUUGUUCUUAAAUCUACAUGGAAAGAGACUGUGUCUGUGAGAGAAAGGGUGAUUAAUUGAAAAAGAUAAAAUGAUCUUUAUAAAUACAUCUUCAUAAAAUUAUAUUCAAGGAUUUUUUUUUCUAUUCUGUCCAUAAUGGUGACAUGUGAUUAAUGAAGUUCAAUGCAAAACUUUCUAUUUUAAAGCUAAUUUUUUUAUGACAGGGAAACAUUAUUAAUUGCCAAAAGAUUUUCUACAAUAUAGCUUUCUAAUAUCAUCUAAAAGAUCAUCCACUGUAUUCUUCAGUAUUGUGAAGGCCAUACCAACUACAAAGACCAAGGUUUUGAUGAAAAUCUACACUGGCAACAUGAAGCAAAAAUUAUUAGUGGAAUUAAAUUAUUAAGUGUAUAUCAAUGAUUUGAAAAAAAUCUCAACUUCCCCAUCUCAUAAGUAAACAAUAUAAAUCUAUAAAAAAUAUAAAUAUCAUAAACUCUGACUGGUACAUCAGGCAAAUAUGACAUAAUCUUCCUUUGUUUCCCAACCCACAGGACUGGUUUAAGCAAAUAAUGAUGCUCAUGGUGUAAACUCUGUGGUCGAGUAAUAUUAUUUAAAAAAUGUUAUAACUGUAGAUUGUCUCCUGGAGAUUGUUGGAAUGAACUCUCCUGAUAUCUGUGUCCUUGAAAUCCCUGCCACUUGGAUUGAGGCACAUCUGCUAUUCUUGCAUAUUGAUUUUAACUAUUUUAAGUAACAUGUUUUUAAAACUUUUCUUCAUACUCAUCCUUAACAGAUUUUUUUCCUUUAACUCCUAUGGGCGAUAAGUGCAAACUUUUUUGGUUAUUUCAAGACUAUUAAAUUUCAUCUAGAUUAAAUAUAGACCAAAAGAUGAUAUUAUGUGAUUUUCCUAGAACAUAAGACAUAUGACACAUAAGAUUUUCAUGCAACUUUCCCUGAAUUUCUAAGCUCUUUUUUUCUAUAAGUGUCUGCAUUUUAAUUUAAGCAUAUGUUUGCAAACACUUGGUUCUGUUUAAGAUGCAUGAUUUCAAAUGCAUAGCUAUAUAUUUAUUUAUACUUAAAUAUGUUAGUUUCAAAGAUGAUCAUCAAUGAUCUAUGCCUCCUUGAACUCAUAAUUAAUAAGGGACAAUUUCUAGGGCAGAAAGAAUAUUGUUCAAGUAAUACCAGGUCAUAAAAGACACUGCUGCUUCACUCUUGCUUUUCUGGAUCACAGAAUCUAAUGUCAUGAUUAUAUUUUGAUCAACUUGUAAUGAGGCUCACUUAGGAAAUAACUGAGAUCUCUGUUAAUAACAAGUACACAAUGCUGUCCAUGUGUGAGACACCUUAAAAGCAGCAUCAGUUUACUAAAGCCGCAGGUGACACUGAAGCACAACUCCCAAAAAAACUGUCAGCUAACCUUUCUUUAUAAUUAUGACACAUAGAGACCGUACCAGCCCAAAAGUUGGUCCCCAACAUUUUUGGCACCAGGAACUGGUUUUGUGGAACACAAUUUUUCCACAGACAGCAGGGGAUGGUUUUGGGAUGAAACUGUUGCACCUCAGAUCAUCAGGCAUCAGAUUCUCAUAAGGAGUGCACAACCUAGGUCCCUUGCCUGUGCACUUCACAAUAGGGUUCCUGCUCCUAUGGGAAUCUACUGCUGUGGCUGAUCUGACAGGAGGCGGAGCUAGGCUGUAAUGCUCUCUCACCCACUGCUCACCUCCUGCCCUGAAGCCCAGUUCCUAACAGGCUGUGGACUGGUUCCCAUCCAUAGCCCAGGAGAUGGAGACCCCUACUGUAAGCAAUGAUAAACAUUUAUUCUUGUAAAUCAGAAAUUUUGAGGGGCAAUUUGUUAUGCAGUAAGAGAAAACUAAUUCUAUCAUAUAUCUAGCUGCCUAAAAUGGAAACUAAUUCAUUUAAAACAAAUGGAUUUAUUUUAUUCAAAGAGGUUUCAUGGAUAUAUAAGUGUCUAAUUUGUGACAAUUCAGCAAACUGUCUUCUUCUAAUGACUGCUUUUUUCUAUGUGUAUUCAAUACUUCAAUAAAUAUUAAAAUAGAAAAAAUAAUUUACAAUUUUAAUUAUUUUACCAGAUCUUCAAAUUGUUCAUCGUUCAUACUAACACUAUCCUUUUUAUGAUUUAUUUUAUAAAGGUUUCUAAAUUUGUCAUUUGUAAUUAUUUUUCUUUUCACCUGUGGAAGUUGGGUAGACAAGUAAUAAUUCCCUAGGCAAAAUAUAUAAGGAUACUUCACUGGGGAAACCCAUAACACUACAAUUUAAGACAUUUGUUUCUUCCUAAGAAAAGUUAAACAAGAAAAUUUGUAAAUGUUCUCACCAUAACUUUCAAGACAUACUUUCCGGAUUUUGUAUUAUUUUUCCAUUUCAGCAGAAGAUGUCAGGAAUCACUGUGGUUAAACCUUUGGGAUUUUAUCUUUUCUCACCAAAUUUUACUACAUUGAUUUAGGUUGCA
rnacentral:lncRNA from 10 species